AGAGUGAUUGAUUGCGCAACAGUUAUACACUCACUAACUCUACAAAGGUACUACCUUCACAGCAGCAACUCUUUCCUUUCCCCCUCCCCCCAACUCCUCGUACACAAUGGCUAAUACUUCUAAAAAUCUUACUCUACCCACCAGCAAGACGAUCUCAAAGACAAGGAAAACUCAAUCUGCCCCCAUUUUGACAUUUAACCAUACGACUCCA
rnacentral:misc_RNA from 1 species